rnacentral:rRNA from 1 species
UACGUAGGGUGCAAGCGUUGUCCGGAAUUAUUGGGCGUAAAGAGCUCGUAGGCGGUCUGUCGCGUCGGCUGUGAAAACUCGGGGCUCAACCCCGAGCCUGCAGUCGAUACGGGCAGACUAGAGUGCAGUAGGGGAGACUGGAAUUCCUAGUGUAGCGGUGAAAUGCGCAGAUAUCAGGAGGAACACCAGUGGCGAAGGCGGUUCUCUGGGCCUUACCUGACGCUGAGGAGCGAAAGCGUGGGGAGCAAACAGG